UGCGUAGGUGGAUUGAUAAGUCAGCGGUGAAAGUUUGCAGCUUAACUGUAAAAUUGCUGUUGAAACUGUCAGUCUUGAGUGCAAAUGAGGUAGGCGGAAUGUGUUGUGUAGCGGUGAAAUGCUUAGAUAUAACACAGAACUCCGAUUGCGAAGGCAGCUUACUGGGAUGCAACUGACACUGAUGCACGAAAGCGUGGGGAUCAAACA
rnacentral:rRNA from 1 species